rnacentral:lncRNA from 1 species
AGGGAGACAGUUGAGAAAGCAUAGAGUAGAUGCAGAGUCAGACAUGACCUGACGGGACGGUUUGCAGUGUGGACUCAUGUAAAUAGUGUAAUAGUCUAUGAGAUAAUUCAGUAAGAGGUCAUGGUUUUACCCUGACCAGGUGAGUAGUAAGCAGGCCAUCUCAGUAUGGGGCCCAGAGAGGUGUCCCUGGGUGACCCAGCUGACCAAAUGACUUGUUUUAUGUACACAGCAGGAGUCCUUUCAUCCCAGAGCCUUGUUCCUGCCACAACGGCAGCACAUUAUUGUAAAACUUCUGCGUUUCUUUCUGCCUCCAAAGCAAAGCAAAGGACUCAAGGAGAGCAUUGGAAGGAAGAGCCCAAACCCUGGCACUUCAAUUGCUGGUAGAACAUAGGAGCAUCAGGGGCAUUUGGCUGUGAGGAGGAUGUUUCCAGCAAACAAGAAGAAGCCUCUGCUUGGAGAAGACGCAGGAGAUGGAGAGAUGAGUUCAUAAUACUACACACCAAGAAUCUGGAAAAUGACCAUUUCACAGUGAACCUGGAAAGAAGUUCUCAUGCCCAGUUUCCAGGCCGGACUCUUGGGUACCAACCUACUGAUAACAGACUUUGCAGAGACUGUGUCGAAUGGCAAUGCUCCUCACAUGCACUUACAUGUGCCUGCUCAGUGCACAAAACCACAUGGGAGACUCCAGGAUACCAAACACUUUGAAGAACAGACAAUAGUCAAGUGUGUAGGUGAUGUUGAGUUCAUUCCAAGUCUAAGACAUGCAAAGGAGUGACCUGGGUGUAUUGCUGAGACCACGGGUCACAUCUUCACUAACUGGCAGCAUGCUGUAGGUAAGGCCUUGUGAGAGUCUCAAGGAGAAAGGACUAAAAGCCUUUCAUCUCUAUACCAUUUUAUCUGCUCAUAUAUCCAUCCAUCCAUCCAUCCAUCCAUCCAUCCAUCCACCCAUCCAUCAACCCAUCCACCUGGUAUUCUGUCUAUCUUUCUAUUCAUUUCUAUACAUUUCUAUUAUUGAUGCACCCAUUCACCCACCUAUCUCUCAGGUCCUUUGUCUUUCUGUCCCCUCUUCUUUCCAUCUGUCCAUACACCUAGCCACUCAUUACUAUGUGCAGAAUGCAGCAACAUAACUCCACUGGAAGGUGAAAAUGACCCUAGGAGGAGAGUGGCCUUUGAACAUCUUUG